AACGCUAGCUACAGGCUUAACACAUGCAAGUCGAGGGGCAGCAUGGUCUUAGCUUGCUAAGGCCGAUGGCGACCGGCGCACGGGUGAGUAACACGUAUCCAACCUGCCGUCUACUCUUGGACAGCCUUCUGAAAGGAAGAUUAAUACAAGAUGGCAUCAUGAGUCCGCAUGUUCACAUGAUUAAAGGUAUUCCGGUAGACGAUGGGGAUGCGUUCCAUUAGAUAGUAGGCGGGGUAACGGCCCACCUAGUCUUCGAUGGAUAGGGGUUCUGAGAGGAAGGUCCCCCACAUUGGAACUGAGACACGGUCCAAACUCCUACGGGAGGCAGCAGUGAGGAAUAUUGGUCAAUGGGCGAGAGCCUGAACCAGCCAAGUAGCGUGAAGGAUGACUGCCCUAUGGGUUGUAAACUUCUUUUAUAAAGGAAUAAAGUCGGGUAUGGAUACCCGUUUGCAUGUACUUUAUGAAUAAGGAUCGGCUAACUCCGUGCCAGCAGCCGCGGUAAUACGGAGGAUCCGAGCGUUAUCCGGAUUUAUUGGGUUUAAAGGGAGCGUAGAUGGAUGUUUAAGUCAGUUGUGAAAGCUUGCGGCUCAACCGUAAAAUUGCAGUUGAUACUGGAUAUCUUGAGUGCAGUUGAGGCAGGCGGAAUUCGUGGUGUAGCGGUGAAAUGCUUAGAUAUCACGAAGAACUCCGAUUGCGAAGGCAGCCUGCUAAGCUGCAACUGACAUUGAGGCUCGAAAGUGUGGGUAUCAAACAGGAUUAGAUACCCUGGUAGUCCACACGGUAAACGAUGAAUACUCGCUGUUUGCGAUAUACGGCAAGCGGCCAAGCGAAAGCGUUAAGUAUUCCACCUGGGGAGUACGCCGGCAACGGUGAAACUCAAAGGAAUUGACGGGGGCCCGCACAAGCGGAGGAACAUGUGGUUUAAUUCGAUGAUACGCGAGGAACCUUACCCGGGCUUAAAUUGCAGAUGAAUUACGGUGAAAGCCGUAAGCCGCAAGGCAUCUGUGAAGGUGCUGCAUGGUUGUCGUCAGCUCGUGCCGUGAGGUGUCGGCUUAAGUGCCAUAACGAGCGCAACCCUUGUUGUCAGUUACUAACAGGUUCCGCUGAGGACUCUGACAAGACUGCCAUCGUAAGAUGUGAGGAAGGUGGGGAUGACGUCAAAUCAGCACGGCCCUUACGUCCGGGGCUACACACGUGUUACAAUGGGGGGCACAGAGGGCCGCUACCACGCGAGUGGAUGCCAAUCCCCAAAACCUCUCUCAGUUCGGACUGGAGUCUGCAACCCGACUCCACGAAGCUGGAUUCGCUAGUAAUCGCGCAUCAGCCACGGCGCGGUGAAUACGUUCCCGGGCCUUGUACACACCGCCCGUCAAGCCAUGGGAGCCGGGGGUACCUGAAGUGCGUAACCGCGAGGAGCGCCCUAGGGUAAAACUGGUGACUGGGGC
rnacentral:rRNA from 1 species